rnacentral:rRNA from 1 species
UUUGAUAGCCUCCUACCCUCGCUAUCCGCCCGGGUACUACGAGCAUUAGCUUAAAACCCAAAGGACUUGGCGGUGCUUUAGAUCCCCCUAGAGGAGCCUGUUCUAGAACCGAUAACCCCCGUUUAACCUCACCCUCCCUUGUCCUUUCCGUCUAUAUACCGCCGUCGUCAGCUUACCCUAUGAAGGACCCACAGUAAGCAAAACUAGUACAACUCAAAACGCCAGGUCGAGGUGUAGCAUACGAGAGGGAAAGAAAUGGGCUACAUUCCCUAUCACAGGGAAUACGAACAAUGUAAUGAAACGUGCAUUAGAAGGAGGAUUUAGCAGUAAGCAGAAAAUAGAGCG